rnacentral:rRNA from 1 species
CGCGUAGGCGGCCUGCUAAAUCACACGUGAAAUCCCUCAGCUUAACUGGGGAACUGCGUGUGAUACUGGAUGGCUUGGAUUUGGGAGAGGGAUGCGGAAUUCCAGGUGUAGCGGUGAAAUGCGUAGAUAUCUGGAGGAACACCGGUGGCGAAGGCGGCAUCCUGGACCAAUAUUGACGCUGAGGAGCGAAAGCCAGGGGAGCAAAACG